rnacentral:rRNA from 1 species
AGACCUUUGCAGUGAAUUCGAAUGCACGGAGUAUAUACCUAACAAAUAGUCUGUUGCGAGUCAUGCUGUUAUCAAAGUGAGUAUUCGAAGUAGAGUGAGAGAGAGCAACUGAGAGAAAGCUUACAAAGGAAACGUUGCGAGUGCGUAUUGCUUGGUUAAACUAGUCUGGCACUAAAAGAAGGAGGGCGGUAUUCGUGCGUCAAAUAAAUAAAGAAGAAUAUAGAAAGAAAGGGAACAUGGUGAUAGUGGCGUUUCUACUGGCUUUUGCCUGUUCUGCCAUUGCAUUUAGUACAUUGUUGAUUGCCCUAUUUGGCAAUACAGACAUUGUUGAAGGCGAAUCAACGGGAAACUUCGUUUGGAACCUAAUUGGAGUAGUUAUUGCUCUUGUCAGUACGCUUUCAAUUUUGAAUCAAAUAAAGACGCAUCGCUAUUUUGAUGAGCUUUUGUAUGUAUGGAAGCUUAAACAGACUCAUUUAAAGAUCUAUCGUAAAGUGAAUAUCCUUAAACAUGCUGCUCAUAACGAACACAAUGAGAGAGCAAUGACCAUUCUUAAGUUUUACUAUCAAACUCAGCAGCAAGUGUACGAGUUAGACAACAAUACACUGACAAUAAAGAGUGUAUUGAAUGAGCUGGAAAGGAUUCGUCAGUGGGAACAAAACCACAGAGUGCUCAAUGCAUCCGAUUUCCAAGCUGUUUGGUUGAACGAUUUCUGACGAAAACAGAUGCUUUUUUUUAACAUGGAACCAAGAAAAAUAACCCUUUGAUUGUUUCUUGCGCGAACGAACGGUUUUGUGACAUUUUUUAUCGAAAAGCACUUGCCAAAGAAACUUCGUUCCCUAUAAUGCGCACCCACCGACACGGCAGACAGCGUAAGGCUUCAGCAAGGUCGGGUGAGGUAAAAACUUCUGAGAAAAUAAAUUUGAAAAAGUGUUUGACUCUUCAAAUUAACUCGCUAGAAUGCACCUCCGCUUUGAGAGAAAAACUUCUCGAAAAGCAANNNNNNNNNNNNNNNNNNNNNNNNNNNNNNNNNNNNNNNNNNNNNNNNNNNNNNNNNNNNNNNNNNNNNNNNNNNNNNNNNNNNNNNNNNNNNNNNNNNNNNNNNNNNAAUACCGCAUGAUGCCUACGGGCCAAAGAGGGGGACCUUCGGGCCUCUCGCGUCAGGAUAUGCCCAGGUGGGAUUAGCUAGUUGGUGAGGUAAGGGCUCACCAAGGCGACGAUCCCUAGCUGGUCUGAGAGGAUGAUCAGCCACACUGGAACUGAGACACGGUCCAGCCUCCUACGGGAGGCAGCAGUGGGGAAUAUUGCACAAUGGGCGCAAGCCUGAUGCAGCCAUGCCGCGUGUGUGAAGAAGGCCUUCGGGUUGUAAAGCACUUUCAGUUGUGAGGAAGNUGCAGGUGGUUUGUUAAGUCAGAUGUGAAAGCCCGGGGCUCAACCUCGGAACUGCAUUUGAAACUGGCAGACUAGAGUACUGUAGAGGGGGGUAGAAUUUCAGGUGUAGCGGUGAAAUGCGUAGAGAUCUGAAGGAAUACCGGUGGCGAAGGCGGCCCCCUGGACAGAUACUGACACUCAGAUGCGAAAGCGUGGGGAGCAAACAGGAUUAGAUCCCCUGGUAGUCCACGCUGUAAACGAUGUCUACUUGGAGGUUGUGGCCUUGAGCCGUGGCUUUCGGAGCUAACGCGUUAAGUAGACCGCCUGGGGAGUACGGUCGCAAGAUUAAAACUCAAAUGAAUUGACGGGGGCCCGCACAAGCGGNCCUUACCUACUCUUGACAUCCAGAGAAGCCAGCGGAGACGCAGGUGUGCCUUCGGGAACUCUGAGACAGGUGCUGCAUGGCUGUCGUCAGCUCGUGUUGUGAAAUGUUGGGUUAAGUCCCGCAACGAGCGCAACCCUUAUCCUUGUUUGCCAGCGAGUAAUGUCGGGAACUCCAGGGAGACUGCCGGUGAUAAACCGGAGGAAGGUGGGGACGACGUCAAGUCAUCAUGGCCCUUACGAGUAGGGCUACACACGUGCUACAAUGGCGCAUACAGAGGGCGGCCAACUUGCGAAAGUGAGCGAAUCCCAAAAAGUGCGUCGUAGUCCGGAUUGGAGUCUGCAACUCGACUCCAUGAAGUCGGAAUCGCUAGUAAUCGUGGAUCAGAAUGCCACGGUGAAUACGUUCCCGGGCCUUGUACACACCGCCCGUCACACCAUGGGAGUGGGCUGCAAAAGAAGUGGGUAGUUUAACCUUCGGGAGGACGCUCACCACUUUGUGGUUCAUGACUGGGGNAGUCGUAACAAGGUAGCGCUAGGGGAACCUGGCGCUGGAUCACCU